ACUGUCACAGGUGACACACUCACCUGUCUGUGUUUCUGCAGCUUUCAACAUUCACAAUGUGACGACAACUUAAUGACUGUGUUUGCUUAAUUUUAGGGGAAGACACCACCACACCUCCACCUACAUCCACACCUCCACCUACAUCCACACCUCCUCUUACCAAUGUGUUGUUGUUUGUUGGAACAGUCUGUGUUCUGGUUCUACUGGUUUCUCUGGUGGUUCUGCUGGUGACACAACGUGUUUACAGGAAACGUGAAGGAAGUGAUCCAGAUGCAGUCUACUCAACAGUGAGAAUAUAUGAAGAUGUCAGUGAAGGACAAAUAGCCAACAGACCAAGAGGCUUUAAACUAGUGCCAAACGUCAUCUACUCUGGGCUGCAGUAGUCCACCAGUCCAACCACAGCCGCAAUCCAGCUGCUGGCCUCUAACAGACCCUGCCAACACCUCAAACCAGAGGACAUCAACAUGUUCAAAAGUAUAUUUUAUGUCUAUACCUGUCUAAUUACAAUUACAGUGAACCUAACCAAAACCUACAUAUUACUUAAAGGCACAAACACACACACACACACACACACACACACACACACACACACACACACACACACACACACACACUUAUUUAAGACUAAUACAAACAUGCAGUUAAUCACUGUUAUUUGUGUUUUUUUCACGUUUGUCAGAUCCUGCUCUUCUUUCCAGAGGUUUAGAGAUCAUGUUCAGUAAAAUAUUUUUUCACUAGUUUUUCUCAUGUGGUUCUGUGUAGGUUUCACCAAAGGUUCAGAUAAAAAAAAAAUUGGAGUUGUUCCAUUUUGGUUAACCGAUACACUUCAUUCUUCAGAGCAAAAAAUAAAGAAUAAACCACAACCACAGACUAAGAACAGCAUGGGCACUCUUGAGUGGCUGCAAACUGUGCAGAAAGCCUCAGUGCAUCACAUAUGUGUUUGAGACUGAAUAGAUCUCAUCUUUAUGUAGAAAAAAAUAUAUAAGUAAACCGACCAAAGAAAACAUUUUGAGUCUUUUUUUUUCUUGAUUUUCAUGAUUUGUAUGAUUGAAAAACUCUGGAGAGAAAGAAAAAACCCAACUCCAACAAGUUAUUUUGAACUUUAGUGAAUAAUUAAUGACAUGAGUUGUGCUAAAUUAAAUGAUGAUCAUCAUUUUACAGUUAACCUCAUUUUUACAAAACAUCAUAGUAUUUGUAUCAGUCUUUCUCAUGGAAACUUUCUAGUGUCACACUUGAUAGUUUAAGAUGAAAACAAAGAGCUUUCAAUUCAAUUUUAACAACAACAGUUGCCUCAAGGCGCUUUAAAUUGUAAGAUAGACC